UGGCUCAGUGGUAGAGUGCUUGCCUUACAUGCAUGAGACCCUGGGUUCAAUUCCUCAG
rnacentral:tRNA from 1 species